UUGCGGUUAAAAAGCUCGUAGUUGAAUCUGUGUCCCACGCUGCCGGUUCGCCGCUCGCGGUGUUUAACUGGCAUGAUUGUGGGACGUCCUACCGGUGGGCUUAGCCUCUCGGGGCGGCCCAACUAAUAUCCCAUCGCGGUGCUCUUCACUGAGUGUCGAGGUGGGCCGGUACGUUUACUUUGAACAAAUUAGAGUGCUUAAAGCAGGCUAUUUUCGCUUGAAUACUGUGUGCAUGGAAUAAUGGAAUAGGACCUCGGUUCUAUUUUGUUGGUAUUCGGAACCCCGAGGUAAUGAUUAAUAGGGACAGAUGGGGGCAUUCGUAUUGCGACGUUAGAGGUGAAAUUCUUGGAUCGUCGCAAGACGGACAGAAGCGAAAGCAUUUGCCAAAAAUGUUUUCUUUAAUCAAGAACGAAAGUUAGAGGUUCGAAGGCGAUCAGAUACCGCCCUAGUUCUAACCAUAAACGAUGCCAGCUAGCGAUCCGCCGAAGUUCCUCCGAUGACUCGGCGGGCAGCUUCCGGGAAACCAAAGCUUUUGGGUUCCGGGGGAAGUAUGGUUGCAAAGCUGAAACUUAAAGGAAUUGACGGAAGGGCACCACCAGGAGUGGAGCCUGCGGCUUAAUUUGACUCAACACGGGAAACCUCACCAGGCCCGGACACCGGAAGGAUUGACAGAUUGAUAGCUCUUUCUUGAUUCGGUGGGUGGUGGUGCAUGGCCGUUCUUAGUUGGUGGAGCGAU
rnacentral:rRNA from 1 species